AAAUUUUCAAAAAGAGUAGCAAAGUAAAUUUUUAAUGUAUUAUCAAUAAAAAUUUUGCAAUAAUCCUUCCAGUUUUCAAAAAAAAAAGGCAGAAAAAACCCUAUAUUAUCAGCUUACCAAUCGAAGAUAAAAUAAUAUGCAUUAUCAAGGAUAAAGUUUAUUAAAUACCGUAUUUUUGUAUAAAAUUAUUUUAAUAUAAAAAAAAAAUAGCUUUACCCAGUUUUUUAGUUCUAUAACAUCAAGAAGGCUAAUUUUUGCUCCCACGUUAAAAAAUAGUUAAAGCGAAAUUGUGAUUGAUAUUUUUCUAGGAAAUUCAUUUCGUAUAAUAUAUAAAAUUUAAUUUUAGAGUAAAAUUAAAAAUUACUAUUACUUUGAUGCAUCGAAACUUAUGAUAAUUAUUAUUUUAAUAAGUGUUGUGUUCUUAUAUAGUUACGACUUACGUCUUACUUUUGAAUACGUUUAUACUUGUAGUACUAUAUAAUUAAUAGUUAUCAGUAUUGUAAUUUAUUCAUAUCGUUUUUAUUAUUGGUGAUAUUAGUGGCUAGUGGUGCUUUAUUAACUAUAUUUUGGUUUUAGUCUUAAAUCAAGGAUUCUAGUAAACUUUGGUGCUCGUUAACCAAAAUUGACUAGAUUUCAGUAUCUUGCAAUGAAUGUAAACAAGUUAUAAAAACGUCUGGCAACACAUCCAACCUUAGAGCACAUUUGGAUAAAUAUUUGAAAAAAGCAGAAGCUAGGUUUGAUGCUUCAAUAAGUAACAAACUUGAACAACAACAAAUUUCCCAAUUUGUUUCAAGUAGUGGAGGAGUCAAUAAGAAAACAUGUAAUAAGAUGUUUCAAAUGAUUCAAUUUCCAGAUGACCCAGAUUAUGUUGUUCAAGAUAAUCUUAGUAGUGCUACUGAUCAAAAUUCAAUUGCAAACUCAUUAAAAACAGUAGUGCCCAUUCCAAAGAGUUCUCCACUUCAGAGACAACAAAAUAUAAAUGAGGUGUUCAAACAAAUUUCAUCAAUGGCUGUUGGUGGAACACAACAUAAAUGCAUAACAGAAGCGAUAGCAUAUUUUUUAUGCAAAGAUAAUAAAACCUUCUGAACUAUUGAAGGAAAAGGCUUCAGAAAUAUAGUUAACAAAUAAAAUCCUUUGUAUAAAGUCCCUUAUAUGAAUACUAUCAAAACAUAUAUUAAUGAUAAGUACAAAAUUGUUGAAUCUAAAUUUCAGUCGGUUUAAAAAAUAUUUCAUAUUUUUCUUUGAUCACCACUGACAUUUGGACGGACAGGGAAAAAAAUUUUUUUUAGGAAUUACCAUUCAUUAUAUACAAAGCCUGUCAUUGAAAUCUAGAAUUAUUGUUGUCAUAAAUCGCAUACAGCCAAUUACAUCAGCUAAGAAAUAAUAAAAUGCUUGAAUGAAUGGAAUAUUUCUAAGGAAAAAAAAUGGCUGUUGUAUAUGAUAAUGGGGCAAACAAAACUAAAGCGGUGAAAGAUUCAUUUGACACUUAUAACUAUGUACCUUGUUUCGCACAUUCAAUCAAUUUAGUUGUCGAAAAAUCAAUUACCAAUACCACAUCAAUAUCUGAAUUAUUAUUAAGUGUAAGAGAGAUUGUUAAGCAUUUUAAACGAAGCACUGAGCGAUGAACUUAGAAAAAUACAGAUAAAUUAAGGCAUAAAAGAAGGUGUAGUUAAAAAAUUGGUUCUCAAUUUAAGCACCUGAUGGAAUAGUGUCUUAUACAUGCUUUAAAGAUUUGUUGAGCUAUCUAAAAUUAUAGUGGAUAUAAUGCUGACAUAACCAAACGGUCUAGAAAUGGUAUCACCUAGACAGCUGCAAGAAAUACAUGAUAUUAUAGUGGUUUUGCGUUCUCUGGAAAUGGUCACAACUGAGAUGUCAGCAGAAAAUUAUGUCACUAUUAGUAAGGUUUUACCAAUUGUAAGUUGUUUGAAUAAUGGUGUAAUCUCACAACUUCCUAAGAGAGAUUUAGGGGAAAAGUUUAAAGGUGCUAUCAUUACCCAAUUAAAUAGACAAUUUGGAAAUAUUAAAAUCUUCACCAGUAACUUAUUUUAAGCAAAAUCCAUUAGAAACGUGGGAAGACAUGAAAUUAGUUUUUACAUUAAUUUAUGUAGAAGCUCAAAAAGUAUUUUGUAUUGUCGCUACAUCUGUUCCUUCUAAAAGGCUAUUCUCCAAAGUUGGAAAAUAUUCUUUCCAAAGAAAGAAAUAGAUUAUUGGGAAAAAGAUUUUUCAAGUUGGAUAAUGUAUAACUUUUUAUUUAUUUUUAUAUUUAAAUAACACUCGUUGAGCUUAGUUAUUAUGAUAAAUCCAUUAAAAAUGUCCACAUUUAUUUCUUUAAAAAAUGAUAAAGUUACAUCGAACUUAAUAAAUAAUUCUAACAAU